rnacentral:rRNA from 1 species
CAGUCGUACCGACGGGAAAUCAACCUUUCGAGUGCGAACCUGUGGGCGUGCGUGAGUCUUUAACGGGCCUCGCUGUUUGCAAUGUUUGUGCUUUUGGGGGUGUACUUUUUCGUAUGGUAGGCCAACGUCAGUUUCGAUCACCGUAAAAUGAUCGGAGGAAUGUAGCUUCGAUCUCGUAUUGAAGUGUUAUAGCCUUUCGGUAGAUGUGGUGAUCGAGAUUGGAGGAUUGCAACGGGAUACCCGUUCGGGGCUACCUGUCUGGUCUCUGAUCGUUGCUCUGGU